rnacentral:rRNA from 1 species
AUUGAACGCUGGCGGCAUGCCUUACACAUGCAAGUCGAACGGCAGCACGGGUGCUUGCACCUGGUGGCGAGUGGCGAACGGGUGAGUAAUACAUCGGAACGUACCUUAUCGUGGGGGAUAACGCAGCGAAAGCUGUGCUAAUACCGCAUACGCCCUGAGGGGGAAAGCGGGGGAUCGAAAGACCUCGCGCGAUUAGAGCGGCCGAUGCCUGAUUAGCUUGUUGGGGGGGUAAAAGCCCACCAAGGCGACGAUCAGUAGCUGGUCUGAGAGGACGAUCAGCCACACUGGGACUGAGACACGGCCCAGACUCCUACGGGAGGCAGCAGUGGGGAAUUUUGGACAAUGGGGGCAACCCUGAUCCAGCAAUGCCGCGUGAGUGAAGAAGGCCUUCGGGUUGUAAAGCUCUUUUGUCAGGGAAGAAACACCGGCUCUAACACAGUCCGGGAAUGACGGUACCUGAAGAAUAAGCACCGGCUAACUACGUGCCAGCAGCCGCUGUAA